CCUGUGGUGGAUUCAGGAAUAUUGGUCAAUGGGCGGAAGCCUGAACCAGCCAAGUCGCGUGAGGGAAGACGGUCCUAUGGAUUGUAAACCUCUUUUGCAGGGGAGCAAGGCGCGGUACGUGUACCGCGAAGGAGAGUACCCUGAGAAAAAGCAUCGGCUAACUCCGUGCCAGCAGCCGCGGUAAUACGGAGGAUGCGAGCGUUAUCCGGAUUUAUUGGGUUUAAAGGGUGCGCAGGCGGACUGUUAAGUCAGCGGUAAAAUGUCGGUGCUCAACACCGGCCGGCCGUUGAAACUGGCAGCCUUGAGUGAGCGAGAAGUAUGCGGAAUGCGUGGUGUAGCGGUGAAAUGCAUAGAUAUCACGCAGAACUCCGAUUGCGAAGGCAGCAUACCGGCGCUCAACUGACGCUCAGGCACGAAAGCGUGGGUAUCGAACAGGCUUAGAUACCCUGGUAGUCCACGCAGUAAACGAUGAAUGCUCACUGUCCGGGCCGUUUAAGGCCUGGGUGGUCAAGCGAAAGCGUUAAGCAUUCCACCUGGGGAGUACGCCGGCAACGGUGAAACUCAAAGGAAUUGACGGGGGCCCGCACAAGCGGAGGAACAUGUGGUUUAAUUCGAUGAUACGCGAGGAACCUUACCCGGGCUCAAACGGAAGGGGACAGUAUGAGAAAUCAUACAUUCCUUCGGGACCGCUUCCGAGGUGCUGCAUGGUUUGUCGUCAGCUCGUGCCGUGAGGUGUCGGCUUAGUGCCAUAACGAGCGCAACCCCUAUCGACAGUUGCUAGCAGGUA
rnacentral:rRNA from 1 species